AAACCAAAGAGCAGCGAACGGGUCAGUUAUGUCUGGGAAACUGCCUGAUGGAGGGGGAUAACUACUGGAAACGGUAGCUAAUACCGCAUAAUGUCGCAAGACCAAAGAGGGGGACCUUCGGGCCUCUUGCCAUCAGAUGUGCCCAGAUGGGAUUAGCUAGUAGGUGGGGUAAUGGCUCACCUAGGCGACGAUCCCUAGCUGGUCUGAGAGGAUGACCAGCCACACUGGAACUGAGACACGGUCCAGACUCCUACGGGAGGCAGCAGUGGACGGAAUAUUGCACAAUGGGCGCAAGCCUGAUGCAGCCAUGCCGCGUGUAUGAAGAAGGCCUUCGGGUUGUAAAGUACUUUCAGCGAGGAGGAAGGUGUUGAGGUUAAUAACCUCAGCAAUUGACGUUACUCGCAGAAGAAGCACCGGCUAACUACGUGCCAGCAGCCGCGGUAAUACGUAGGGUGCGAGCGUUAAUCGGAAUUACUGGGCGUAAAGCGUGCGCAGGCGGUUGCAUAAGACAGAUGUGAAAUCCCCGGGCUCAACCUGGGAACUGCGUUUGUGACUGUGCGACUGGAGUACGGUAGAGGGGGCAGUGGAAUUCCUGGUGUAGCAGUGAAAUGCGUAGAUAUCAAGAGGAACAUCGAUGGGGAAGGCAGCCCCCCUGGACCUGUACUGACGCUCAUGCACGAAAGCGUGGGGAGCAAACAAGAUUAGAUACCCUGGUAGUCCACGCCCCUAACGAUGUCAACUAGUUGGUCGGGAAAG
rnacentral:rRNA from 1 species